rnacentral:rRNA from 1 species
CGGACGGGUGAGUAACGCGUGGAAAACCUGCCGUAUACUGGGGGAUAACACUUAGAAAUAGGUGCUAAUGCCGCAUAAGCGCACAGCUUCGCAUGAAGCGGUGUGAAAAACUCUGGUGGUAUACGAUGGUUCCGCGUCUGAUUAGCUAGUUGGUGGGGUAAUGGCCUACCAAGGCAACGAUCAGUAGCCGGCCUGAGAGGGUGAACCGGCCACAUUGGGACUGAGACACGGCCCAAACUCCUACGGAAGGCAGCAG